rnacentral:tRNA from 1 species
AAGACUAUAGUCAAAUUUAUGACAUAUGAGUUGCAAUCAUAAGGAGUUCAAAUGAACUAGUUUUA